GAGAGACCAGGGAUUUACUUUCCAGCACAUCCCCACUGGGCUAAGUAGAGAUGCCUUUCCAGAAUCUCAUUAUUUUUUCCCCCUCCUCCUCUCCCUUGGAGUUGUUCAGAUCAGAAGGCUCCAGCUUAA
rfam:Echinops telfairi cont1.060235, whole genome shotgun sequence.